UACGAAGGGGGCUAGCGUUGUUCGGAAUCACUGGGCGUAAAGCGUCUGUAGGUGGUUCGAAAAGUCCACUGUUAAAAAUUGAGGCUUAACUUCAAAGAUGCCGUGGAAACUUUCAAACUAGAGUAUGGUAGGGGUAGAGGGAAUUUCCAGUGGAGCGGUGAAAUGCGUAGAUAUUGGAAAGACCACCGAUGGCGAAGGCACUCUACUGGGCCAUUACUGACACUGAGAGACGAAAGCUAGGGGAGCAAAUGGG
rnacentral:rRNA from 1 species